rnacentral:tRNA from 1 species
GAUUCUAUAACUCAAAUGGUUAGAGUACCAUACUUUUAAUAUGGGAGUUGAUGGUUCAAGUCCAUCUAGGAUCA